rnacentral:miRNA from 2 species
UGAUCACCUCAGUUGUUGCUUUU